CUGCUGCUGCUGCUCUGGCCUCAGCGCCGCGGCCUCGGGGCUCUGCCCGCCUGCCCGCCCGCAGGGGAUGCUCCGGCUGCCCUGGGGUGCUGCCCUUCCCUUGUGAAGUGGCGCCGAGAUGAAAGAUAAAUGCUUCUAGACUUUAGCAUGUCAUCUGCUCCUUUUGAAUGUUAUGAACAACAAACAUCUGCAAGCAACUGUGAGAGCAAGCAGUACCACCAGCCAGCACCUGCCUGUUCAGCUGCAACAUCCUGCUAGCAAUUCAUACUCCCCACCAAACUUACCGGGAGCGCUUAGAAUGACAAAAGCACAGAAAGAAAGAAGCUGUUCAGAAGACAGGAAACCAAGGAAACAGGAGCCCCUGCAGAGUUCAAAAACAGCCUCAAUGUGAGCUCUGUGAUGUCCCUUGCACAGGAGCAGGGAACAAGCAACAGAAGAUGGUGAAACCAGAAGCAGGGCUACAGUUGUUUCUGAAAAUGUACCUGGAGGGCUGCUGGAUUUCACAACCUGUUUUACAUGACCAUGUAGAAGAUGUUAACAUCUUUCCUCUCAAGAUAAAUUUCUAUACAGGAAAUAAUGAAGGAAAAAUAUUUGACUUCAUUGUGAGCUCCAAGUGCAGUUUUGAUGGCUUCAGUGCUGAGGAUAUGCAUGUUAAGCAGUGGAGAGGAACGGACUGCAAUACCAGAGCUUACACAGAGGUGGGACUUCUCAGCUUCUGGCGCUGCUCCCCCAGCCUCCUCACUGGCAGGGCACAAGAGGAGGGGACACAGCCAGGACAGCUGACCCCAACUGGACAAAGGGAUAUCCCAUGCCAGGUUCUUUGAAGAAGACCAGUACUGCAGAUAGAGGUGGAGAAGAGUUACAAUGGGAAGGGCAGUGGCUUCCCGUGGGCAGACCUGACAUGCUGUUACCUUUCCUGUCUACAAGUGUACUCAUCUGAUGACUCAUGUCAUAUGACAAACCACUGGUAGCAUCCACUUUACAGAAGAACUCUAGUCAAUCCAGAUAUGUUCCUCAUUUGGAAUGUGCACUUUUGCCUUAGAUUCACUGACAGGGCAAGAUCUGGAGAAAGAGGAAGAAAAUGAAGAGAAGAGGCUAAAGGUCUGUAGUUAAAUGUGAUUAUCAUCGAAGUUCUGCAAAGACCUUUGCCAGCAUGUACCCACCUGUGGGGCUCUUCUGGACUGUGUGAAGACAUAAAAAACCUUCUCUGUCAUGUCAUAACAGCAGUUAAAAGAAAGAUGUGAUGUAGCAUUAAGGAGCAGCAAUGCUCAUUAUCUGAGGGGCUGUAGUGAAGUACAAAAUCAGUUAGUAAAUCUCACUUAGUAAAUUGGAAAUGGUAGUAAAUCCAAGCUAAAGAUCACAGACUUCAGUAGGAUGCAGGAUUUAUUAUACAUCUAUCCUUGCUUUUUUCUUUUUUGUAGCCCUAGAUAAAGUAUCUUGCUUAGAAGGACAGUAUGAAAUUCAAAACACGAGCAGGUUGUUUCAGGAACUCAUAGUCUAUGGAUAAAAGUCAGCAUUUCUGGGGUGUGGUUAAUUUCUUUCUAAGGUUGACUUCAAGAGCAGACCUGCUGAAUUGCAAGUCUUCCUCUUCAACUGUAAAGGAGAAAGGUAUGUAGAUAAGUAAAAUUAGGUGAGGUGCCCCCCUUCACACAGUGGGGUGUAUCUGCUCUAACUUUGGCUUUGUAAAGUUAGAUCUCAAGAUGAGAUAGCCUUCCUCUAUAGAAAGCGUAAAGAAGAAUAGCUAGUCCAUGUGACUAGCUCACAGAAAUAAUGUUAAAUCAGGAUUUUCCACUUCUGCAUUGAGUUAUACAGGUACUCUUCAAACUGUGUUAACACAGCGACUUUGCUGUAGCGCAGAGAUAUGGGGACCGCUGCUUUGGGUUACUGGUUAUAAUACUAUGUCUGUAGUCUUGUGGGUGGCCAACAUGGCUACUAAGCAUGUAACAAAUACAUAUUUAUUAUUUUCCAGUCAAACUGAACCUCCAGUAUCAGUUAUGGUGGUUUCAUUCAUUUAGCUUCAGUUUUCUCUUGUUUGGAGUGGCUAAGCCGUGCUCGUGCUACGCUGGAAGUUUGAACCUGGCAGCAGGACUUUUUGUAAAAAGAAAAAAAAAAGCUUUAAACAGGGCAUUGAGCCUGUUAAAUCCUGGCAAUCCCAUGCAGCGUUUUCUUGAAGGUGGCGUGUCAGGAAUGCCGUUGGAUGGUGGGUAUAGAAUCAUUUAGGUUGGAAAAGACCUCUAAGAUCAUCAAGUCCAACUGUUAUCCGAGCACUGCCAAGUCUACCACUAAUCUGCGUAAUCACAUGGUGUCAUCACAUCAGUACCCAGGAGACUCACGGGAACCUUUGGCAGAGCAGCUUGUGCCGCGAAUGUUGUUCCUCGGUUCUGCUGCCUCUUGUUUGUUUUCUUACAGAAGUGUUGCUAAGUGCCACGGUUUGUCUCUACUGCACUGCUGAGUUGCUCUGUUAAAAUAAUAUUGAUAGCAAAACUUUCUCCAGGAAGGAGAGACCUGUCUUCGCUUUCUGAUUCAUAAGGAAAGACAAACACCUGAAUUUGUCAGAGAUGUAUUUCAGGCCCCCCAGGCAUUUGCACUUGGCUUUUACAAAGCUCAUACUGAUUUUCUGAAUACUUGCAUUGUUAUUUAUAGAAAAGCUUUUAAGGGAAGCCUCCAAUGCUGUAACUUUGUGCUCGUUCUGGAGAAGCUAAAGCUUUAUCAGUUUGUCACAUUUUCUUACUUAAGGGUAAAGCAAAAUGUCAGAAGUAAUUAAACUGUUUUAAAACUUCUUAAUUCUUUGUUCCUUCAGUUUUGCUGUUAAAAACCUGAGUGCAAUAUGUUUACUUUUGUGAUGUCUUUUUUCUCAUAUCUUGCAUUGUCAGAUGAACCUGGGCUGCAACAUGUCCAUUAGAAAGAUAAGUUGGAUGCUCUGGAGACUGACCAGUUGGCAGUAAGAUGAUGUUACAGCCUGUGCACUGGUAGAAAAGAAGAGCAGUUAAUAACAGUUGAGGAGGACACUUUAGCAAAUGUUCCUGGCAGUGGUAUACUGGAGAUCACAACUGCAAAUAACU